AAACACGUAUUACAAAUCAAACUAUAAUAACCCACGUCCCAUCCCAAACAUCCCUCCAACUCCUGUCCGUUGAAGGGGACUCAGAAUCAUUCAUGUAGCCGCGCAGAUUCUCCCGGGUAAAUGUUGAUAAUCAGAAUCGGCGGGAACGACGGCAAUGAAUCGUCGCUCAUCUUCUCGAGCACGGCCUCAUGCUCCCCCCACCGUGAUUGCUCUUAGGCACUGACGAUUUCUUCCGAGCCUUAACCCAAAUUACAGGCGUUAUUACAUCAGAUUGCUUGUUUCCAACGCUACUUCGAGGCUAUUUUGCGGAAUAGAACAAUGGUCCGAGGCAGUACAUUCAACUUCAUGAUAGCAUAAAUGAAGAAAGAGAAGCUCCUAUUUCGCUUGAAACUUUGGUUCUCUGACUUAGUUGCUGAAAUUUAUUUACUGCGAUAUUUAGGUUGUAAGGUAUAUAAUUACCGGCGGUUCGGCGCAGUUGCUUGCAGUUUAUUGUCCUCGUGUUGUCCGUUAUGUACGAGUGGCUACGGCGUAGAUGCUAAGCCAAGUUUUGUAUAAUUUCAGAUGCAACAAAUCAGUACUCAUGAUUAUUGCCAAACAACGGUGAGCACAAGUACAUAUUGAUCGAUGGGAGGCCGUUUUUAGGGCGCAUGUUCUAAAAUGGUUUACACGCCAUAAAAUUUAUGGAGUGGAUACUGUGAGUCACUUUCACUUGUUUUUUAUGUUUUUAUGUAACUGAUGUAUAGUCUGUUGCAAAAUUUCAAAAUAAAACGCAUAGAUAAUUACGAUCAGGACGGUAUUUCUUUCUGCCACCUGUUAUUGCUUUCAGAAGCAAUUUUUGUUUGUUCGUUAUUUUUACUUUGCGUCAUUUUUUAAUGAAAUUUCACUAUCCUUUUAGUUUUAGUUAAAGAGCAUUUUCUUUGCAAUAAAUUCGACUCUUAAUUUCCACGGCUCGUUUCUUUUUCUUUCAAAAUUCUAAAGAUUAUUUUGACUCUGAUUCUUGGUUUGGAUUAUAUACAUACCGUGCAACCUUUUAGUCCCACACAUGAAAUUAACUUGAUGCAUGUUUAUCUAGCACAAGAUUCAAGUAUGACGAAGAGGUAUAUGUGGCUACCUUUUCUCUAGAUUAUUUUCUGUAGCAUCAUACCUCAUAAUUAAUUGGCCAUGGAGUUCCUUGCUUUUGUCGUAAAUGUUGAGCAAUCUACUUGUUCAAAAAUAUUUGAUUAGAUACACGAAAACUCUGAUGGUGGAAUAAGUCCUAUUUGGCACAAAGAUGUGAAGGCUUCUGACUUCUAUUUUUUUCUCUAAUAAUUUUUUUUCUUCAAAGCGGGGUUAUUUUGCUUUUCGGACGAUUUGAGAUAGUAACUGAAUGCAUAACAAUAAAUGAAAGCCAGCACGAUUUUCCUUUAAAUGGUGAACACUCUUUCUUGGUCCUUGCCAUCGAAUACCUCUGAAAAGGUUCCUUGUAACACGUAUACCUCUACGCAGUUAAUAUUUUCUUCCUGACUGUUCACUAUCAGACUUAGAAGCAAAUUUUAUUCAUACUGUGGAUCUCAUGUGUAAUUUUACAUCUUCAACAGUUUGAGUUAACUCUUGUUCGCAUGACUUUUAAGAGCGAUUUGUCAGUCGGUAAGUUGGGAACUUGAAUUAAGUACUUAAUUUUCUUGCACCUCAAUAUUACAUAUCAUGGGCACAAAAAACACGAGAGACUACUGUAUUUGUUUUGCAGUGGUGUAAAUUGCGAGUGCAAGGAAGCUCUCUCAUGUCAUAAAUUUUUUACUUUCAUCUCUCAUUUUGCGUUUUCCUCAUGUAAAUUGCAAAUUGAGCUGUAGUUUAUCGUGCACUAGCCAUUUCUGUUUUUUUUUUUUUUUGGCACGGUGCGGUUAUGAGGUUCCUAUACUAGGUGCAAAAGGAGUUAGAGAGGCCAGGAAGUGUGAGAAGAGUAGCACAGCUUGAGGUUUGACUGGUGAAUCAUUGAGAACUAUGACGAGGAACCAUUUACUGCAUCAGCCUUACUUUUUGUUCCUUUAUGAGUUUGUUAAUAUAAUGUAUAUAAAUAUUUCCUCGAUUAUCCUUCUUAACUAUAAUUGUUCAAGUUCAGGUUAUGCAUAGAGAAGAUGUCUCCUCUUAGGGAAAAAAAUAUAAAGGUUCCUAUAUAUAUCUGAUGUCUCAAGAUUUCCUCCAAGCACAAAACGUGAUCAGUUUUGUUUCAUUCAAUCUUCUAUUAGAAUAUGUUUAUGUUUCUAUCUUACCCUUCACUUUUGAAUUUUCCAUGAUAUUGUGAAAGCACAAAGAUCAAUUGAUAAAGUUUGUUGACGUCCUAUAAGAGCCCUUGUGCAUAAUAUGGUACGGUAGGUACCUGGAGUGCCCACGUACAAAAACAGAUUCUCCAGAAAUCUUGACUAAGCUGAAAGCUUCAGAGACUAGUUGCUCCGAAAAGAUUGGAUGUCAUCAUAAUCUUGGUGAUUUUGGUACUUCUCUACAUCUGUUUCCUUGCCCAUGGGCAAAAGGCACUAAGAGCUAGAACCAAAAGACAAGGGCUAAGGAUCUACGUGUCAUGCCAUUUAAAAAGGAGUCAGGAGAAUAUUUCUAAACUUUAUUUUAGGUUUCCAUGCUAUACUUUUCGUGCUGUAGUCAUCAAUUUCAAAAGGUGAAGCUGGUCUUUUCGUUCUUCUCGUCUUGGGUGCACCACAAAGGGGAUGCAUAUGAGAAGAAUCAUGCUUAAUUCACACAUUGGUAUUGAAGCCAACGAGCUCGCAUGCUGUAUUAUUUGAAAGUUUUGUCCGUGUGUUUCUUGGCUUUCCAACUUCUUCACCUCAUGUCUUUUACCUGUAUAUUUUGAGUGAUUACUUACUCCCUCUACUUCGGUUUGAACCAUUUUAUUUUGUUGGCACUUCAUACGGGUCAUUUAAUGGAUUAGACAUUGUAAGGUAUGCACAAGACCUCAAUUUAUAUCUUGAUAUACAUAUGCACAUGUGUUGUAGUAAAUGUUAAAGUUCAUCAUGUGCAUGGGAAAUACUGCUGCCUAUUGUUCAAUUCGAAAUGUGAGGUGGGCAAUGCUUGAUUGUUUAAAUAAAGUUAUCCGGCUAUGUAGGUGCAUAUGAGUUGUUCAAGUAUUUGCACCACCAUCUCCAUCAGAGGUUUAUCCUUGGCAAUAUAUUACCUAAGGGAUUGUAAAUGUACCAACUUUCUAACUUUAUUUGAUGGCUAACAGUGGUUCAACUACACGAAGUUGAAGAACAACCAAAUAACAGAACCAAACAACAGUCUACCUAACCUCUGGUAUUUAUGUUCUAAUUUUCUCUAUUGGCAAUUUCUAAAUAAGAGAUUGCAAAAGUUGUCUUGAUCUUUUUAUUUAAUCUUUGUUUCUGUCUUAAUUCGAAUUUGGAAGUUUUUUAGAUCAAUUUUCGACAUUAUUAGAAGUGUUCGUAGGAGAAACUUUUUGUUUGACUGAUGCCAAUGAAAUUCACCUUGUACUGUUUGCUUUACAUGGAGGGGAUUUUUAGUACUGAUCUUUCUGUCUUAUCAUCGUGCUCAUUUAGAAAAGGAAUUCCACUGCAGAUUGCUCAUGAUGGUCUUUGAAUCUCCUUGACCUAUGAUGAGGUAAUGUUUGUUCAUUCAGCUCCUUUAACAGGGAGUCACGAUUACCAUUAGCUUCUUCGUAAAAUAUCCUUAAUUGUAGUAACUAUAUUAUUCCCAUUGUAUAAUUCUCUUGUACUUUGAGAUUCUAUCAAUAAAGAAGCUUGUCUCCGUUUAAGAAAAAACAACUGUAACCGGGGUGCUGUUCCUUUGGAUCAAACAAGUGAAGAAAGUAAACCAAGCAUUCAACAAACACCCCAUUGGUGGAUGUGUUGUUGGAGGACGAUACAUCUUAAUGAAGCAUAAAUGCAUAAUGAUAGGAGUGGUACCAAGGAGUAUUGACAAUUAGUUAGGAAAGUUGCUAUGGUACUUUAGUUAUAAAUAGAGGAAGUGAAAAAGGAGGAAGAUAGACAUUGGUUAAUAUCAUUUAGGUCUGAUUGUUUUCGAGAGAGGGAUUUUCCUAAUUCCUCAAAUUACUUGAUUAAUUUUGAAGCUAUUUAAUGUUUUUAUAUUCAAGAUAUAUUUUUUGGUUUCUAUCAUAUUAUUGUACCUGAGCGCUACAACAUUGAGUUUUAGAGUCAAACAACAUCGAGUUUAUGUCCUACUGAUGUUGGAAGGAAAAAUAAGAAUAGAGUUGAUAUGAAAUUUGAAUAGCUUAUCUGAGCUGGAGCUGGCUGGAAUUUUAUUGUGACAAAAGAGUAGUAUGGUUAUCUUUAUUUAAGUAGGUAAAACGAGUGCAAGGGGAAAAUAUUCAAACCAUCAAACACUGAAAAAUUCAAACUAAACACACCAAACAGAAAAGUAGAGAAGAAACUUUAAACUAAACCGUCAAAACUUUGAAACUGGAAGGAAAAUUAGCAAACUGAAUGAUGAAUCAUGGGACCCCUUUGGAAAGACGAUACAUUAUUGUACAAUUCCUUUUAACAAUCCCACGAUCUCCUUCCUCAAUUUCUCUGUUCAUUUUGGAAUCUUCCACAGCAAAGCUGGAAAAGUUAAAAUUUAAUAGAGAGACAAUAUGGAGAUUAUGGUAUGCAAAGUAGGACACUGUAUCCAAAUAAAGCUUGGAAUAGUUUCUUUCUUGUUUGUUUGUUUUUUCUCCCUUAACAAUAAUGCUAUAGAAAACUUUUCUUUUUCAAAUAUAUAUAUAUAUUUUUUUGGAGACAUCAUUGGGAACAUACAUUAUAGAAGAGCUCAUUACUGAACAUCUGUUGCAAAAAAAUGCUCAAGGAACUAAUCGUGAAGAAUUAUAGCCUAAAUCUUUACUUUCUUUUUAUCUUUUGUCUCCCUUUGGAGGAUUUUUGGUUUUAUCUUUCCUUUUGCCCAAACAGAAAUUUCUUAUUUGCCCGUGUAGUUGAAUAUUGUAUAAAUAUGACAUUUCUUAUCUACUUUUCAAGGAAAAGUAUAUCAAUUGCACAUGAAGAGACAAGGGCAAAAUACAAGAAGGAUGAAUCAGAAGCAUUGUACUAUGAUAGAGAAGUUUGAGAGAAAAGGUAAGUUUCUAAAUACCAUGACACCCUCUGAACUUUACACAUUUACUCCUUAAAGUACUUGGAAAUUUCAACUUCUUCCUCAGUGGUAGGUAACUUUUUCAUCCAAACCUUAGUUGGAUUUUAUUAACUUCAUUAAUAGGUUACGUUAUUCCAAUGAAAGUUAGUUUCAUUUUGUGUUUAUAAAAAGAAGAGAAAGAUCUUUGAGUUAGUUUAAAUAAUUGAAAACUUUUGGAAAGUGUGAUCUGCCUGUUGUCUUGAAAAGGGGAACCAUAGAAAAAACAUUGAUCAAAGAUCACAAGGAAAUAAAUAUAGGUUAAUUUGUCUUAAUCCAUCAUCUCCCCAUCUGAAGAGAAAUUUGAUGCCCUGGACGUUUACUGAUCAUCUAAGAUCUUUUCAUUAAUCACAAGAAUAUCCUAUUCCCGGUUCGCCUACCCCAAGAAUGGUGAUGAAGAUAGAUUUACUACUGCAUUUUGGCCUCAUUACAUCUCUGGAUAGCCGGUUAUUUGACCUUCCCACCUCUCCAUUUCGUACCCAUCCCCCCUUUUUCUACCACAAAUCCCAAACAAGGCACAUUCUUUUACACAGGCAUGGUACAAGUGGAGUUAAAGAGUAUCAAUUAUAGAGGAAGACGUAAAAUGGGUUAUGUCUGUUUAACCUCAAGCUAAGAACCGUGGACACUUUAGUUUGGCUAAUUUGUUUGUAUCAGCAUGUGUUGGACAUUUGGACCCUUCGACACUUGUUGGACAUGUAUCAUACACUUAUUAGUACAACAAAUGUGUUAAACAUGCAUAGAACACUUGCUGAUUAAAAAGUUACAUAUAUGAUAAUAAAUUGAGGGGAUCGUUUGGCCCACCAACUUCUUAGCAA